GGUUGAUCCUGCCAGUAGUGAUAUGCUUGUUUCAAAGAUUAAGCCAUGCAUGUGUAAGUAAAAGCGAACUUUUACAGUGAAACUGCGGAUGGCUCAUUACAACAGUUUUAAUUUAUUUGAUGGAUGUUGAGAAACUACAUGGAUACCCGUAGUAAUUCUAGAGCUAAUACAUGCAAGAACGCCCGGUCUUUAUGGCCGGGUUGUAUUUAUUGGAUCCUAAAGCCAAACCAUUUCGGUGGUUCUGUUUGUUGAUUCACAAUAACUAAUCGGAUCGUUUCUUCGGAAGCGAUAU
rnacentral:rRNA from 1 species